GAUGAACGCUGGCGGCGUGCCUAAUACAUGCAAGUCGAGCGAAUGGAUUAAGAGCUUGCUCUUAUGAAGUUAGCGGCGGACGGGUGAGUAACACGUGGGUAACCUGCCCAUAAGACUGGGAUAACUCCGGGAAACCGGGGCUAAUACCGGAUAACAUUUUGAACCGCAUGGUUCGAAAUUGAAAGGCGGCUUCGGCUGUCACUUUUGGAUGGACCCGCGUCGCAUUAGCUAGUGGGGGAGGUAACGGCUCACAAAGGCAACGAUGCGUAGCCGACCUGAGAGGGUGAUCGGCCACGCUGGGACUGAGACACGGCCCAGACUCCUACGGGAGGCAGCAGUAGGGAAUCUUCCGCAAUGGACGAAAGUCUGACGGAGCAACGCCGCGUGAGUGAUGAAGGCUUUCGGGUCGUAAAACUCUGUUGUUAGGGAAGAACAAGUGCUAGUUGAAUAAGCUGGCACCUUGACGGUACCUAACCAGAAAGCCACGGCUAACUACGUGCCAGCCGCCGCCGUAA
rnacentral:rRNA from 1 species